CUGCGAAUGGCUCAUUAUAUAAGUUAUCGUUUAUUUGAUAGUGCCUAUCCUACAUGGAUAACAGUGGUAAUUCUAGAGCUAAUACAUGCUAAAAGCUCCAACUUCGGAAGGAGCGUAUUUAUCAGAUUCAGAACCAAUGCCCUCACGGGCUCCUUGGUGGCUCAUGAUAACUCCACAGAUCGCAUGGCCUUGCGCCGGCGAUGGCUCAUUCAAAUUUCUUCCCUAUCAACUUUCGACGGUACGGUCUUGGCCUACCGUGGUUGCAACGGGUGACGGAGGGUUAGGGCUCGACCCCGGAGAGGGAGCCUGAGAAACGGCUACCACAUCCAAGGAAGGCAGCAGGCGCGCAAAUUAUCCAAUCCCGACUCGGGGAGAUAGUGAGUAUCAUCACCCUCUUUUUCUAGCGAUUGACCGCUAACCAUUGCCAAUAGGUGACAAUAAAUACCAAUACAGGGCUCUUUUGGGCCCCGUAAUUGGAAUGAGUACAAUUUAAACCUCUUAACGAGGAACAAUUGGAGGGCAAGUCUGGUGAACGUCCAGUUCCUGCUGGCGCCAGCAAGAGUGGGAGGCGCGACGCGGCCUUGUCGCGCCUUCGGACCCGCUAGUCGAGCAUCCACCGAUGACGGGAGGAUGCCGGCGAGACAACCUGGAUCGGGGAAAGCUACGGGGUCCUAUGGGUCCUACGCCGAUCCCGAGCAGAGAUGUCGGGGAGAAAUCUUCGACGUCCUGCGUAGAGCGCGCCAAGGUGUCGGUCGUGCUGCGGGGAUUGCAUUCGUUCUUCCCGCAGACGGCUUAAGGUACGUGCCGGCCACCGCGAAAGCGGAUUCUCGCCUCCGAGUGCCCGUCACACGAGGAGCGAGCAGCGUUCGGGGUGCUGCCCCGGGCGCGGAGGACGCGGGCGACGACGUCGCACCGCGCACCCGGCCAGCAGCCGCGGUAAUUCCAGCUCCAAUAGCGUAUAUUAAAGUUGUUGUGGUUAAAAAGCUCGUAGUCGAACCUCGAGCCCGACCGGCCGGUCCGCCUCACCGCGUGCACUGGUCUGGCCGGGCUCUUCCCUCUGCGGAACCGCAUGCCCUUUACUGGGCGUGUCGGGGAGGCAGGACUUUUACUUUGAAAAAAUUAGAGUGCUCAAGGCAGGCCAAUGCUCGGAUACAUUAGCAUGGAAUAAUAGAAUAGGACGUUGGUUCUAUUUUGUUGGUUUCUAGGACCGCCGUAAUGAUCAAUAGGGACGGUCGGGGGCAUCAGUAUUCAGCCGCGAGAGGUGAAAUUCUUAGACCGGCUGAAGACUAACUACUGCGAAAGCAUUUGCCAAGGACGUUUUCGCUGAUCAGGAACGAAAGUUAGGGGAUCGAAGACGAUCAGAUACCGUCGUAGUCUUAACCAUAAACGGUGCCGACUUGGGAUCGGGCGCUGUUCUCUCUAGACGCGCUCGGCACCAUUCGAGAAAUCAAA
rnacentral:rRNA from 1 species